rnacentral:ncRNA from 1 species
AAAUGUUAGUUAGCGAAUACGCAGUUUGUUUUAAAAGUAGAUACCCGCUAAGGAGUGUGUAACAACUCAACUGCCGAAUGAACUAGCCCUGAAAAUGGAUGGCGCUUAA